AUUGAACGCUGGCGGCAGGCCUAACACAUGCAAGUCGAGCGGAGCGGCGGACGGGUGAGUAAUGCCUAGGAAUCUGCCUGGUAGUGGGGGAUAACGUCCGGAAACGGGCGCUAAUACCGCAUACUAUCAGAUGAGCCUAGGUCGGAUUAGCUAGUUGGUGGGGUAAAGGCCUACCAAGGCGACGAUCCGUAACUGGUCUGAGAGGAUGAUCAGUCACACUGGAACUUAUGCCCGGUCCCGACUCCUACGGGCGGCAGCAGUGGGGAAUAUUGGCGAAGUGGCGAAAGCCUGAUCCAGCAAUGCGGCGUGUGAGAAGAAGGUCUUAGGAUUGUAAAGCACUUUAAGUUGGGAGGCGUUACCAACAGAAUAAGCACCGGCUAACUUCGUGCCAGCAGCCGCGGUAAUGC
rnacentral:rRNA from 1 species